rnacentral:rRNA from 1 species
UACGGGGGGGCAAGCGUUGUUCGGAAUUACUGGGCGUAAAGGGCUCGUAGGCGGCCAACUAAGUCAGACGUGAAAUCCCUCGGCUUAACCGGGGAACUGCGUCUGAUACUGGAUGGCUUGAGUGUGGGAGAGGGAUGCGGAAUUCCUGGUGUAGCGGUGAAAUGCGCAGAUAUCAGGAGGAACACCGGUGGCGAAGGCGGGUCUCUGGGCCGUAACUGACGCUGAGGAGCGAAAGCGUGGGGAGCGAACAGG